AAUACAAGAAAAAGCGCAAACAAUUCCAGACGGUGGAGGUGAAAGUGAAGAUGGAUUGCGAAGGAUGUGAGAGAAAAGUGAAGAAAUCUGUGGAAGGGAUGAAAGGGGUGACACAAGUGGAAGUUGAGAUGUGAGAGAAAAGUGAAGAAAUCUGUGGAAGGGAUGAAAGGGGUGACACAAGUGGAAGUUGAACGGAAAGCAAACAAGGUAACCGUUACGGGUUACGUGGAGCCUUCCAAGGUGGUGAAACGAAUAGUGUACCGAACGGGGAAAACGGCUGAGCUAUGGCCUUAUGUUCCAUACGACGUGGUUGCACACCCUUAUGCUCCUGGUGUUUACGACAAAA
rnacentral:lncRNA from 1 species